rnacentral:miRNA from 1 species
CAUGGGCUACAUGUGACGUUU